GGGGGGCUGGCGCAACGGUAGCGCGUGAGAUUCCAGUUGCUGUCCUCGUCUGAUGACAACUAAGGAGAUUCCUCAAGGUUGAGCGUUCAAAUCGCUCGUCCCUCA